rnacentral:rRNA from 2 species
UUUAUAUGAGAGUUUGAUCCUGGCUCAGGAUGAACGCUGGCGGCGUGCCUAAUACAUGCAAGUCGAACGAGUUCUCGUUGAUGAUCGGUGCUUGCACCGAGAUUCAACAUGGAACGAGUGGCGGACGGGUGAGUAACACGUGGGUAACCUGCCCUUAAGUGGGGGAUAACAUUUGGAAACAGAUGCUAAUACCGCAUAGAUCCAAGAACCGCAUGGUUCUUGGCUGAAAGAUGGCGUAAGCUAUCGCUUUUGGAUGGGCCCGCGGCGUAUUAGCUAGUUGGUGAGGUAAUGGCUCACCAAGGCGAUGAUACGUAGCCGAACUGAGAGGUUGAUCGGCCACAUUGGGACUGAGACACGGCCCAAACUCCUACGGGA